AUUCCCCUCCCAUAGCACAGUGCUGCUUCCUGAAGCUAACCUGCCUUUGGCUUAGCAGCAGCUCCUGGAAAGCUCUUGUUGCUCAGCUUUGGUCCUGAGCUCUUGCUUUAGUGCAAGGAUUGCAAGCAAAGGCACUUCAGCAGAGAGGUAAAUGCUUUGCAGCGCUGGUUUCUCGGACAACCCCGAAAUGAGCUGACGGGCACGGCGCAGGCUGGGCUGGCUGCCUGGGAGGCAGAGUGCAGGAGAGCCUCGGAGAGCGGCGAGGAGGAAGAGAAGGAGGAAAAGGACACCAGGAGAAAGAGGACGGGACCAGCUCUGUGCUGCUCCUCGCGUGCUGGCAGCAGGCAUCUGCAGUGAUGGGGACACGAGGACGGUGCCAUACAGGAGAAUUCAUUUUUCCCUCUCUUGUCCCAUGGGGGCACGUAUGCUACCAGCUGGACACGCUGCAUCCCGCGGGCUGUGUUUGCAGAAACACUCUGAUCUCUCAUUUUUAAGCCCCGCGUUUCAAUUCCCCUCUGAGCGAAGGUAAACGGUAGGGAUGCUGCUUCGGUGGAUUCAAGGUUUCAAGUCAAACAGCAGUCAUUUAACCACUCUUUUAAAGUUCAUAUCAUUUGAAUGUCAUAUGUCAAACUAAUGCUACUUCCAGUGAAGGCAAAUAGAUAUUUAUUCCCCUCUCAGCUGUCCAGUGGUCUGACAUUCAUUAUUGAAACAUUGCAGCUGCCAGGGAUUGAAAUUACCUGUAGGAGUACAUCGAGCAAAGCCUUCCACCUCUUUAAGGGUUAUUCCCUGUAACACGUUUUAGUUCAGGCUCAUUUUACAGCUGCUCUUGGUCUGCAGUUGCUUUUUCCUAUGUCUCUACAAGGUCAGGCAUAGGCUUUUUGACCAUUUCCUCCAAGACGAUGUUGUAACUUCAUUUUUCAGAGCUUGUCUUUGGCUCGGACUUGUGGUCACUGCACCUCGGUGCAGCUCCAGUCCCUGAGGGGCUAGAACUGAAAAUUCACCUCCUGGGGAGUCCCAGGCAGGGGGUAUUUUUUAUUUGUUUAUUUAUUUCAUGCAUUAUUUUGCAUGAAAUAGCCGACAUUUUGUAGCUCAUUGGGCACUGAAAUACUCAGUUGGCCGCAAGCGAGUUCAGGGACAGAAGGAAAGACAAUGGAGAUGACUAGAUUAGUUUGCAUUUAGACAUUGCCCUGAACUUCACAGAGCAAUUUACACCUGUACGAGGGUCUGUGGAGUUAUAUUGAAUCAGACCAGGAGCAUUUUACAGCCACUUUGCAUGAGCAUAAAUGAUAGCAUAAGGUGCAAAGGAAACAGCCAGCCGGACAAUUACAUAGCAUCUUCACACGCCUUAUUAAUCCUCAUUACAUUACCCUCUGUGCUGAGACUCAGCAUCUUCCCUUCCCCGCGAAGGGAAGGACAGGUGAGGCUGUGGAGCCAAUUUAGCCACCUGCCAAAUGUGCAGCCUCUGGCUGCUGGUAGCUUCACUCCUUGGGCCUGGAGAGCUGGUUGCCCCC